GCCAUCCUUUUAUUGUUCUCAGAAAAAUUGGAAGCAGGAAAAUCCAGGGGUUUUUGGAUGCAUCAAACUUGGCAUUCAGUGAUUCAAGGGAUCAUACCUCAGCUGCUUUAUCCAUACAGAAGACAUAUCGAGGUUGGAAAGGUCACAAGGAUUUUCUUGCAAGACGGCAGAAAGUGAUAAAGAUACAGGCUUAUGUGAGAGGGUAUCAGGUCAGGAAAAUAUAUAAGGUAUACAGUGUUG